GGGUCAGUAGGUUGGUCGUGCCACCGGUACGUACUGGUCUCACUGAUUCCUCCUUCCUGAAGAGCCGUAAUGCCAUUAAUUUGGUGUUGCGGGGAAACAGGACUGUUACUUUGAAAAAAUUAGAGUGUUUAAAGCAAGCUAACGCUUGAAUACAUUAGCAUGGAAUAAUGAAAUAGGACGAUCGAUCCUAUUUUGUUGGUUUCUAGGAUUGACGUA
rnacentral:rRNA from 1 species